UCCAGUUUCAAAACUCCACAUCACCACCUUCCAUGGCAAUCCCCCGCAUACCAAGCUUUACGCCUCAAAUCUGCUCUCAUCUUUGUCGUCAUCCCGAAAACACAAAGGUCCUGCCUGCAAACAGAGCCUCGCCCCAUUUAUGCUCCUCUUUGCCGUCGUCUGUGGCGUCACAAAAAAGAAGUUCUGAAGAUAUAUAGUCGGCAAUAGGAACGGUCGUCGGAGCUGCAAAGUAAACGGCGGCAUCAUGGCAGAGUUUGGAUGUUAAAAUAUGUGGUCGGCUAUGGUCCUAUGAAAAUAU
rnacentral:lncRNA from 1 species